rnacentral:rRNA from 1 species
CCUACGGGUGGCAGCAGUAGGGAAUAUUGGUCAAUGGAUGCAAGUCUGAACCAGCCAUGCCGCGUGCAGGAAGAAGGCCCUAUGGGUUGUAAACUGCUUUUGCCAGGGGAUAAAACAGUUCUGCGGAACAAAUUGAAGGUACCUGGUGAAUAAGCCACGGCUAACUACGUGCCAGCAGCCGCGGUAAUACGUAGGUGGCAAGCGUUGUCCGGAUUUAUUGGGUUUAAAGGGUGCGUAGGCGGCCUUAUAAGUCAGUGCUGAAAUAUCCCGGCUUA